rnacentral:rRNA from 1 species
AGAGUUUGAUCCUGGCUCAGGAUGAACGCUGGCGGCGUGCCUAAUACAUGCAAGUCGAACGCGAGCACUUGUGCUCGAGUGGCGAACGGGUGAGUAAUACAUAAGUAACCUGCCCUAGACAGGGGGAUAACUAUUGGAAACGAUAGCUAAGACCGCAUAGGUACGGACACUGCAUGGUGACCGUAUUAAAAGUGCCUCAAAGCACUGGUAGAGGAUGGACUUAUGGCGCAUUAGCUGGUUGGCGGGGUAACGGCCCACCAAGGCGACGAUGCGUAGCCGACCUGAGAGGGUGACCGGCCACACUGGGACUGAGACACGGCCCAGACUCCUACGGGAGGCAGCAGUAGGGAAUCUUCGGCAAUGGGGGCAACCCUGACCGAGCAACGCCGCGUGAGUGAAGAAGGUUUUCGGAUCGUAAAGCUCUGUUGUAAGUCAAGAACGAGUGUGAGAGUGGAAAGUUCACACUGUGACGGUAGCUUACCAGAAAGGGACGGCUAACUACGUGCCAGCAGCCGCGGUAAUACGUAGGUCCCGAGCGUUGUCCGGAUUUAUUGGGCGUAAAGCGAGCGCAGGCGGUUUGAUAAGUCUGAAGUUAAAGGCUGUGGCUCAACCAUAGUUCGCUUUGGAAACUGUCAAACUUGAGUGCAGAAGGGGAGAGUGGAAUUCCAUGUGUAGCGGUGAAAUGCGUAGAUAUAUGGAGGAACACCGGUGGCGAAAGCGGCUCUCUGGUCUGUAACUGACGCUGAGGCUCGAAAGCGUGGGGAGCGAACAGGAUUAGAUACCCUGGUAGUCCACGCCGUAAACG